AGGGAAAUAGCUCAGCGGUAGAUCGCAUGCUUAGCAUGUAUGAGGUCUUGGGUUCAACCCUCAAUUCCAUUA
rnacentral:tRNA from 1 species